UACGGGGGGGGCAAGCGUUGUUCGGAAUUACUGGGCGUAAAGGGCUCGUAGGCGGCCAACUAAGUCAGACGUGAAAUCCCUCGGCUUAACCGGGGAACUGCGUCUGAUACUGGAUGGCUUGAGUUUGGGAGAGGGAUGCGGAAUUCCAGGUGUAGCGGUGAAAUGCGUAGAUAUCUGGAGGAACACCGGUGGCGAAGGCGGCCAUCUGGACCAGCACUGACACUGAGGCACGAAAGCGUGGGGAGCAAACAGG
rnacentral:rRNA from 1 species